AGCGAACGCUGGCGGCAGGCCUAACACAUGCAAGUCGAACGAACCUUUCGGGGUUAGUGGCGGACGGGUGAGUAACACGUGGGAACGUGCCUUUAGGUUCGGAAUAACUCAGGGAAACUUGUGCUAAUACCGAAUGUGCCCUUCGGGGGAAAGAUUUAUCGCCUUUAGAGCGGCCCGCGUCUGAUUAGCUAGUUGGUUGAGGUAAUGGCUCACCAAGGCGACGAUCAGUAGCUGGUCUGAGAGGAUGAUCAGCCACAUUGGGACUGAGACACGGCUCAAACUCCUACGGGAGGCAGCAGUGGGGAAUCUUGCGCAAUGGGCGAAAGCCUGACGCAGCCAUGCCGCGUGAAUGAUGAAGGUCUUAGGAUUGUAAAAUUCUUUCACCGGGGACGAUAAUGACGGUACCCGGAGAAGAAGCCCCGGCUAACUUCGUG
rnacentral:rRNA from 1 species